CAAACGACUCUCGGCAACGGAUAUCUCGGCUCACGCAUCGAUGAAGAACGUAGCAAAAUGCGAUACUUGGUGUGAAUUGCAGAAUCCCGUGAACCAUCGAGUUUUUGAACGCAAGUUGCGCCCGAAGCCAUUCGGUUGAGGGCACGUCUGCCUGGGCGUCACG
rnacentral:rRNA from 10 species